AUUGAACGCUGGCGGCAGGCCUAACACAUGCAAGUCGAGCGGAUGAAGGGAGCUUGCUCCUGGAUUCAGCGGCGGACGGGUGAGUAAUGCCUAGGAAUCUGCCUGGUAGUGGGGGAUAACGUCCGGAAACGGGCGCUAAUACCGCAUACGUCCUGAGGGAGAAAGUGGGGGAUCUUCGGACCUCACGCUAUCAGAUGAGCCUAGGUCGGAUUAGCUAGUUGGUGGGGUAAAGGCCUACCAAGGCGACGAUCCGUAACUGGUCUGAGAGGAUGAUCAGUCACACUGGAACUGUGACACGGUCCAGACUCCUACGGGAGGCAGCAGUGGGGAAUAUUGGACAAUGGGCGAAAGCCUGAUCCAGCCAUGCCGCGAGUGUGAAGAAGGUCUUCGGAUUGUAAAGCACUUUAAGUUGGGAGGAAGGGCAGUAAGUUAAUACCUUGCUGUUUUGACGUUACCAACAGAAUAAGCACCGGCUAACUUCGUG
rnacentral:rRNA from 1 species